rnacentral:rRNA from 1 species
AUACGUAGGGGACGAGCGUUGUCCGGAAUUACUGGGCGUAAAGGGCGCGCAGGCGGAUAUUUAAGUCAGCUGUAAAAGGCAUGAGCUCAACUCAUGUAUGCGGUUGAAACUGGGUAUCUAGAGUGCUGGAGAGGUAGGCGGAACUCCCGGUGUAGCGGUGAAAUGCGUAGAUAUCGGGAAGAACACCAGUGGCGAAGGCGGCUUACUGGCCAGCAACUGACGCUGAGGCGCGAAAGCCAGGGGAGCGAACGGGAUUAGAUACCCCGGUAGUCCUGGCCGUAAACGAUGAAUGCUAGGUGUGGGUGUCGAGAGGCAUCCGUGCCGGAGUUAACGCGAUAAGCAUUCCGCCUGGGGAGUACGAUCGCAAGAUUAAAACUCAAAUGAAUUGACGGGG